GCCGUAGGAUGCAAGCGUUGUCCGGAUUUAUUGGGCGUAAAGAGUUCGUAGGUGGUUCGUUAAGUCUGAUGUUAAAGACUGGGGCUCAACCCUGGAAGUGCAUUGGAUACUGGCGGACUUGAGUGUGGUAGAGGCAAUCGGAAUUCCAGGUGUAGCGGUGAAAUGCGUAGAUAUCUGGAAGAACACCGGUGGCGCAAGCGGAUUGCUGGGCCAUAACUGACACUGAGGAACGAAAGCUAGGGGAGCGAAUGGG
rnacentral:rRNA from 1 species